rnacentral:snoRNA from 1 species
CCCAGAUGAUGAUAAAGGGUGCCACGCACUCGAUCAAUCUUAACCCAGCUCGUCGACGGCCCUAGGAAAGCCGUGUGAGAUGAAACUGAUUCACUGA